AGCUUAAUGCAAGCUCCUUCUCACUGCCUGCCCUGAGCACACCAUCAAGCAUUGGUGCUCAGACACGUCAGGAGGAGGUACUGUGCAAACGCCCUGCAAAGGGAUUCUG
ensembl:miRNA gga-mir-6677 gga-mir-6677